AUGGGAGGUCACUGGGGAGCCCAACGGGGGGCGCCCGCUGAGUGUCACGAGCAAAAUGCCUUUUGGGGAGUCUGCGGGCUUCCAGCCUGGAUGCCCAGGCGGCAGAGUGGGGCCGGCCUGCAGGGGGCCGGGGGGGGUGUCUGGCUGCCUCCCAGCAGGUGCGGCUGUGCGCCUCUCCGCGGACGCGGCCUCGGGUGGGGUGCUCCCGGGUCAGGCACUGCUCACGGCGCGCAGGGGAGGAUGGAGAGGGUGCGCGUCCCAGCCGCCGCAGGAGUCCUCAGCACCUCCGCCCCGUGGGCCUCCCGGGGCCCGGGCCGCGGGGCGGAGGUGCAGGUCUCAGGUGCUGGGGAACUUGGCCCCUCACGGCGGGCCCGUGUGGACGCGAAGGGGGCGUCUGCGGUGGCAGGGCUGGGAGCCGGAGAGAAGCCCGCGCAGCCUGGCUCACCCGGCCCCAGUCCUCUGGAUUCGGGAAGCGUGAUGCGAGCCGCUGGCUGCUCUGCCCUCCCACCCCCAGCCCUGCAGCCCGGCCUCCGCCAGCACGGCAGACGCUUCUGGAAGUGGGAUAGAUGUAUCUGGAAGUGGUGAUAAGAAAGACCCCGAUUCGGGGGUCACCAGCAGUAGCACCCAACGGAGAGUUGGGGCCCACAGCAGAGGGUUCAAUGCCAGGAGGCCGCAUGCCUGGACCGUGUGGGGUGCACCUGCUGGGGCCCCGCUGCCUCGGGUUCCUGCCCACCCGCUGGGAAAGGCUCUCAGACCGCCUGUGGCAUCGGUGGGUCGCCUGCCCUCAUGCACCAGGCCGUGUCUUAGCUUCUCACCCAACACUGGGUGCCCGUUGCUUUUACAGCCAAGGAUCCUGACUGAGAACGUAGCGCCCAGUGGCAGGCGGGUGCCCAAAAGUGAGAGCCUCUGUAAGGCCCGGGGCGCGGUGUGGAUCCUUGCAUCCAUCUGCAGAGGCAAGUCCAGGGUGUGUCCAGGUAGGGAUGGCGUGCUAGGAAUAAAUUCCACUCCGGUAGCA
rnacentral:lncRNA from 12 species